UAUCAGCAACGUGCUACUUAGAGUACUACUACUAGCUAGAUUCAAUCGAGCUUACCAGCUCAGCAAUGGCGCCGACGAAACUACUCUCCCUGCAUCAGCCGCUGCUGAUGAUAUGCAAGUUCCUCAUCCUCCUCCACGCCUUGGUCUUCUCCUCCUCCGGCGACGGCGCGCGCGCGGCGCCGUGGAUCACCACGAAGGCCGUGCCGCGGCUGCCGGGGUACAUCGGCGGCGGCGCCCUGCCCUUCUCGCUGGAGACAGGGUACGUGGGGCAGGACGACGGCGUGCGGCUCUUCUACUACUUCAUCCAGUCGGAGCGCGCCCCGGCGGAGGACCCCGUCCUGCUCUGGCUUACCGGCGGGCCCGGUUGCUCCGCCCUCUCCGGCCUAGUCUACGAGGUCGGCCCGCUCUCCUUCGACUUCGAUGGCUACGCCGGAGGCCUGCCGACUCUGCUGUACAAGACGGAGGCUUGGACACAGGUUAGCAAUGUCAUCUUCAUGGAUUCUCCGGCAGGGACCGGCUUUUCGUACGACACCGCACAUGCUGCCACACCUAGCGACACCAUGGUUGUUCGCCAGCUCCGAAUUUUCCUCGAAACGUGGCUUGAUAAGCACCCACAGUUCUUGUCAAAUCCACUCUACAUCGCGGGGGAUUCAUAUAGCGGCAUAAUCAUACCUUCUCUCGCCAUGGAAAUAGCUAAAGGGAUAGAAUCUGGUGAUGAGCGACUUAUAAAUCUCAAGGGUGUUAUUGCCGGCAAUCCAGUGACUGACAUAAGAUUAGACGACAAUGGUCAACUUCCGUUUCUUCACGGGAUGGGAAUUAUACCAGAUGAACUCUACGAGCCCGCUCGGAAAAGCUGUAGAGGAGAAUACCACAGUCCUUCUAAUCCUGCAUGUGCCAAUUCCCUCCAAGCUAUCAACGAUUGCACAAGGGAUUUAAAUGGCGCGCAUGUCCUGGAGCCAACUUGUCUGGAGUAUCCUGACCUCUCAAUUGUUCACAAGAAGCCGACGACGUUGCCAGAGAAUGGAACGAAUCGGUUGAUGCUUGAGUCAGCAACACUUUCAUCUGUGUGCAGGAAUUCCACCUACUUCUUAUCUGAAGUUUGGGCAAAUGACGAAGCUGUAAGGGAGAGUUUGGGUAUUCGCAAGGGAACAGUUCCACUGUGGCAAAGAUGUGAUUUCCAUUUGCCUUACACAAAGGAAAUCAGCAGUACGGUGGGUGAACAUUUAGCCUUGAUCACCAGAGGAUACCGGUCCAUGGUAUACAGCGGUGAUCAUGACAGUAAAAUCUCUUUUGUCGGCACCCAAGCCUGGAUCAGGCAACUUAACCUCUCCAUUACAGACGAUUGGCGACCAUGGUACGUGGACAGCCAAGUUGCAGGGUAAGGAGGAACCGACUCACAACUUAACAACGCAGACAUUCACAAGAGCUUACUCCAAUAACUUCACAUACGCAACUGUGAAGGGUGCUGGCCACACGGCUCCGGAGUACAUGCCCAGGGAGUGUCUUGCUAUGAUCGAUAGAUGGCUUUCUGGCCACCCUCUUUGAUCGUGGAUUUUAUUUGUACACCACGUAUGGAGGUUCAUAUGUCUAUUAUGUGUCAGCAUUGCCCCUGUGGCAGCACAGUUCUACAAAAAGAUAAAUCCGUAGCAAGGCAUGUUUCAGUAUGGAAUUUCUCUAACUGAACUGGAUCUUCAGAAAUUACGUCGAUGGUCAAAGAAGAGCAUUAUAUGAACUUCUA